rnacentral:rRNA from 1 species
UACGUAGGGUGCGAGCGUUGUCCGGAAUUAUUGGGCGUAAAGAGCUCGCAGGCGGUGUGUCACGUCGAUCGUGAAAACUUGGGGCUUAACCCUGAGCUUGCGGUCGAUACGGGCAUCACUGGAGUUCGGCAGGGGAGACUGGAAUUCCUGGUGUAGCGGUGAAAUGCGCAGAUAUCAGGAGGAACACCGGUGGCGAAGGCGGUUCUCUGGGAAUAUCCUGACGCUGAGGAGCGAAAGUGUGGGGAGCGAACAGG